rnacentral:rRNA from 1 species
GGUCUUUUGUUUAUAUAAAAGAUCUGACCUGCCCAAUGAUAAAUUUUAAUGGCUGCAGUAUUUUGACUGUACAAAGGUAGCAUAAUCAUUUGUCUUUUAAUUGAAGUCUGGAAUGAAUGGUUUGAUGAAAAAUUUACUUUCUUUAUUUUAAAUAUAAAAUUUAAUUUUUAAAUCAGAAAGUUUAAAUAUUAAUAUAGGACGAGAAGACCCUAUAGAACUUUAUUUAUAUAGAAUACUUAUUAAUUUGUUAAUUAUGAAUAUAUAUUUUUAUAUAAAUUAUAUUGGGGUGAUAAAAAAAAUAUUAUAACUUUUUUUAUUUUUUUCAUUUAUGUAUGAGUUUUUGAUCCUUUAUUAUGGAUUAAAAGAAUAAGUUACCUUAGGGAUAACAGCGUUAUUAUUUUAGAGAGUUCAUAUUGAUAAAAUAGUUUGCGACCUCGAUGUUGGAUUAAAAUUAGCUUCAGGAGUAGAAGAUUGGUGGCUAAGUCUGUUCGACUUUUAAAUUUUUACAU